UCUCCGUUGGUGAACCAGCGGAGGGAUCAUUACUGGAAUCGCAAGACUCCCAACCCCUGUGAACGUACCGAAACGUUGCCUCGGCGGGCCUCGCGCCCGCCGGCGGCCCACGAAACUCUGUUUUAGCAGUUCUUCUGAAUCAAAAACUUAAUAAGUUAAAACUUUCAACAACGGAUCUCUUGGUUCUGGCAUCGAUGAAGAACGCAGC
rnacentral:misc_RNA from 1 species